GCUAUAUGUGGCCAUAGUGAUGAGGCCUUGAUCCAACAGGAUCAGUGUCCUUGUAAGAAGAAACACGAGAAAUCUGACUCCCUGAUGCUCUUCCCCAGCUUGAAUGCACCAAGGAAAGGCCAUUUGUGGGGACAUAGCGAGAAGGCAGCUGUCUGCAAGCCAGGAGGAGAACCCUCACCAGAAACCUCACAGAAAUCGGCCAGCACCCUCAUCUCGGGCUUCCAGCUUCAGAACAACGAGAAAACAAAUUUCUGUGGUGUCCUGGUUCCCAUUUGUAAUUGGCACCCUAAUGAAACCGUUUUCUGUAGCCCUGGAAAUGGCUGAAAAUGAGGGGAGGGAAAUAAAGUGCUAUAAUUCAGAGCAUGGAGCACACCUUCCUGGUUCACCUGAGUUGGAUUCGGAGAGGUAAAAUGGCCAUUACCUCGUCUAAGCUGCCACUUACAGACACAGUACAGGAUGAGGCCCAGGCCCACAGAGACAACGAUGAUGGCCACAGCUAAGAUGAUCCAGAAAUUAUUCCUCCACCAGCUCAUUGCAGUGGAAUCCUGAGAAGAAUGGAGAGAGAAGAAUGAGGUAUGAAUGAAAGAUAUC
rnacentral:lncRNA from 1 species